rnacentral:lncRNA from 11 species
UCAGAAAGUCCCUGCGAUCAAACGCUAACCCAUCCGGAGAAUCUGGGAGAGCUGGCACUGUUUCAAGGGCAUCCUUAAUUGGUGCUGGCUCAGCAAUGUCAAUAGAAGGCAUCUGGAAAGGAGUUGAAUCUUGCUGACUUGGAAGAAAACCAAAGUCUUCUUCGUCCUGGUCAGCAAUAGCCACAUGGUCAGGGGCCAAAGGUGCCUGAGGUAUCACAACGUGCAGAAAUGGAAGAAUUCAGCAGCACCAACAACAAAUGAUUGGAUGAUAAAAAUGACGGACUUUGCUGAGAAGGACAACUUUACCGACUGGAAACCUUUUGUUUGUUUGUUGUUGUUUUUUGCACAAGGAAGGGAAGGACUUGUCAAUUUUGGAUUUUGAAGAAUAAUUUGAGGGGAAGGUUGUUUGAGAAAGGAGCCAACAUUGGGAGGUCUAGAGGCUGAAGCUUGUGUUGUUUUCUUUUGGCCAGGAUAGCUCGGAGGUCAUCUACAUUGUUUUUGCUUUUCUUCUUUCUUUCCUUCCUUGGCAUUUUUGUGUUUAUAGUCAUUGUAUUUAUAC